UUAUAUUUUAUUUCACGCUUUUCAAGUGAGUGAAUCGAUUUUUGAAGGAAUCACAUUGAUUUAUGUUAUAAUCGAUAAAUCCAAAGUUGCAUUUUUCUUAUUCUCGGUUUCUUUUGUUACAGAUAACGAAAAUGUGACAAUUUUUGUUAGAGAGCCAACUACGGCUCGAUCAUAUGGAGAACACCAACACAAACUUUAGCACGAACACCCAAACUGAAUGGAUAAAAGUGACAGAAUAAGUGGUGAAAACAGAUAUGGGAAAAGACAAAAUAUUGACUGAAAGUCACGUGUGGCUCGUAUGUUUAACCUUUAAAGUAUAGCUCUGCCUAUCGGAAGACAUGAAAUGAAACAAAUGAAGAUUUGCAAAACAAUGCAACUGUAGUUGUUGUUUUUGGAGGAGCUUGCUAUGGGGAGAAUAAACAAAGUAAAACAUCAAGAUGAAAUACACGCAUUUCUCUUUGAGACCCUGGAACUGUAUGAAAUCAACGGUCAAAGAAGAUUGUGUCAAGAAUAUCCAUAGGAUGUUGAUAUCUUAUUUCCAUUAAGGUUACAUGGGACGAAAUGGAAAUAACGUUUGAAUUUUCAUGAUGAAGACCAAUCACAAUCAUGCAGCAGUCAUAUGUCAGAGAGUGACUGCUAUAUUUCCACAACUCAAGAAGAAGAUGGGAAGUUCAUGAAGGACAUCGGAAGAUAAUUCAGAAAGGUUACCUUUUAAAACCAUUUUUUUUUGAGCUAUGCUCUGUUAAAUGUCUUUGGUAUAAAGAUUAAUAGAAACUCUGAUUUUUCAACUACGAUUUAAAAGUUGGCUUAGGCUCUCAAUGUUUUUACGAUCAACAAAAAUCGAAUAGGAAAUUGUAUUAGUUUAGGGCCAAAUUGUUGAGUUCAUUCCAUAAAUUCAUCGAAUAAAUAUACCUAUAUUAUGUCUAAAGCGGGGACUAGUUCAUGAAAAAUUCUAAUUUCAAACUCAUUUAAAUAAUUCAGGCAGCUUGAAAAUGAAAUGUCAACUUUUAUUGUUUCAUGAUAAAUUUAAUUUACCUCUUGACGUCCUUUUUUAAACUGUGUAACUUUAUAACCCUUUAAGGGUAGUUUUUAGCAAAUUUCACUUGAAAUAAUGGAAUGAGCACUACAAGAUUUAAAAACAAGCAUCUGUGAUAAGGUAGCGGGCAGGCCUGCUGGUACGGUCCUGGUGCGAGCAGCGCCGGCUUCAGGUACGCGAACCUGCCUACGCGAGCCGCGUUUUUCCAAAAAUUCCCUUCUUUGCGAAGAACGCGUCCACAUCCUUCAUCUCCUCUCUCUAAACUCCCACCCUUCAAUCCCCAUGGGGUGGGAUCUUCGGAGAAGUCACUCUUCCUCCCUGAGUCCGGGCUAGAUCUCGGAGGAGUGAUUUUUCAAAGGUAACACCCCGGUGCAUCCAUGACCUGCAGUUGUCAUCUUCGACCAUCAAAAUUCCCAUUAGGCCCCUAGGACGUGGAUGCUCUGCUGAAGAUUAGUAGCAUUCCAUCCACGUUGUCAAAAUUCGUUUGUUUAGGAACCCCAGGAGAUUGACAACUGAUCGACAGGUCCUUGAUGCACGUAUAUACAACUAAUCUACCUCAUAAACUCGGGAUAUUGCCGUGGAUGCGGAGAAAACAGGCUUUACGCUCUCCUGGAUGGCUACCUGCUUUUCUUAGCAUUCAUGAAGCAAUCUCUCGAGCCAAAAAAAAAGAUUAUGAAGUGCAUUCUCAUUGGCGUAGCUUCUAGUGAGUUUUGCACUGUUCCCCAUCCCCUAGCUGCGCCUCUGUUCAUUCAAAACGGGUACUGUGGGGGGAAAAUGCGUCGAAAACGGAUUUUUCCUCCACCUUAGUUUGUAAGUAGGCAAAUUGAUUGGGUCGGGAAUCCGAUAAACCGUCCCGAGUCUUCAUAAGAAAAUCCAAAAGAUUGAAAAGAGGAAGUUCCAUCCGUUCGAAACAGUGUGCCAGGAUCCCGCGCGGCGGAGAACGUUAUCUUUCGGCAACUUUUUUUUUUCAAAAUUUAGGACAAUGCAUUUUUUUUAUUUUCUCUCUUGCUAUUCGGUCGAACCAGGUCAUGCUAAAAGAACCUGGACGCGUUGGAACUCCCUCCUGUCAUUUGGAUACCAUUAUUUUCGGCCCCUAGAAAACUUUAGUUUCCUGUUUAUUUUUAGAAACCAUCAAAAUUUUCGGUUCGGUGCGAAUUUAUCGGAUUAUUGACCCAGUUACAUUUUAGUAUUAGGAAUCCUAGGUGUAAGUAGUAUUUUUCAAUUUUAGAAUAAGAUAGGUUUAAGACUAAUAUCACAGAUACACAGCCCAUACAUCGCUUUGGCAAAAUUAUGUAAAUAAUUUGAUGUACUUCAUAAUUUUCCAUAAUAAAAGAACAAUAA